AAGUAUUUCAAUUGAUGAAAAGCCCGUAGAAGGUAGUGUCAAAUAACUCUUGAAACGACUCUACGACAAGGUGAUGCACUAGCGAAAAUUCAAAUACGGCCUGCCGUCCAUGUUCAAAAGCUACUGUCUCUUCCUUUGGGCUUGUCGCAGGAGCAAACUGCGCAAAAGCUAGACCGGCCGAAAUGAGUUCUUUUACAAGCACGGCUUCUCCAAAAUGAAACGCGAUCUUGACGUGCUCUAGCU
rnacentral:rRNA from 1 species